rfam:Myotis lucifugus cont2.30758, whole genome shotgun sequence.
CAGUGCAGUCACCCAUAAAGUAGAAAGCACUACUAACAGCACUGGAGGGUGUAGUGUUUCCUACUUUAUGGAUGAGUGUACUGU